UACGAAGGGGCUAGCGUUGCUCGGAAUUACUGGGCGUAAAGCGCACGUAGGCGGCUUUGUAAGUUAGAGGUGAAAGCCCAGGGCUCAACCCUGGAAUUGCCUUUAAGACUGCAUCGCUUGAACAUCGGAGAGGUAAGUGGAAUUCCGAGUGUAGAGGUGAAAUUCGUAGAUAUUCGGAAGAACACCAGUGGCGAAGGCGGCUCACUGGCCCGGUACUGACGCUGAGGUGCGAAAGCGUGGGGAGCGAAC
rnacentral:rRNA from 1 species